AAGUGGCAGAUGAAAAUGUAUUAGUUUUAGAAACUGAAGAUGAAGUUUUUAAUUUUCCUU
rnacentral:tRNA from 1 species